CUCGCAGAAAGCAGCUCUGACAGGAACGUUACCUGUUGUCAAGGAUACCGGAAGACGGGACCUUCGGUCGUGCACGUGAAUGACGUCACAGUUCAUUGAUACUCUGUUAUCGGCAAUAAUGAGUCGCUCCACUCCAAUGGAGCCCUUCAGAGAGCUGAUCAUUUCUGCAACGGAGGAGAGGAGCAAGAAGCAACGGGCUGGAACUGGGAAACAAAGUGAAGACUGUCCACUCCUGUGCAGAGGUUGUCCGCUGUGUGGUCCCUGUGCCACACCUCUGUGACCCCCCCCCCCGGGUGAGGAUAUGCUGAUAAGACGAGGCGAUGCAAAUUCAACCCAGGGGAGAGGAGACGGGGGCAACAGGUAGGAGGUGGGGGGGUGGAGUGGGGCAGGGGCUGCGGCUGUUAGUUGGAUUUCAUGGCCUUGCUUUGAUUGCAGCUUUGACAGGAGCUCUUUGUCCUACUGAUGCCCACCACGCCUCCUGUCUGACUCCUUCUGAGACACACUGGCCUUGCCAGCUGUAGGACAGCAAGAGGGACCAUCCCACAUGUUCCUCCUGCACGUCACAUGACUGUCGCAGCACCCAAAACACAUCUUUUUGGACAAAUUCUUUAAAAACGCCAUCUUUAACAUUUAUUCUUACGUUGUUCAAUGCCUUUUAAACCAAAUCUCUAAAUUAUCCAUCACCGUUCCCUUUCACUUUUCUUUUGUCACAUUGUUCUUUUUCGCCCCAAACAAAUAUUUAGUUUCACCCAUAGUGUGUGAGUGACAGAGAGAGUGUGUUUCACUGAUGUAUGGAUGAGUGACCCAUUGUAAGUAGCGUAUCCAGCAGUGUAAGUCUUCAGGUGCUCUGGUUUCCUCCCACAGUCCAAAGGUAACACUGAUAACACUACAAAGAGUUCGUUGGAAGUCGCUUUGGAGAAAAGGGUCUGCUAAAUAAAUAAACGUAAAUCUUUACUGUUUAUCUCCGC
rnacentral:lncRNA from 1 species